UGUCCUGUAGUGGGGGAUAGCCCGGCGAAAGCCGGAUUAAUACCGCAUACGAUCUGAGGAUGAAAGCGGGGGACCUUCGGGCCUCGCGCUAUAGGGUUGGCCGAUGGCUGAUUAGCUAGUUGGUGGGGUAAAGGCCUACCAAGGCGACGAUCAGUAGCUGGUCUGAGAGGACGACCAGCCACACUGGGACUGAGACACGGCCCAGACUCCUACGGGAGGCAGCAGUGGGGAAUUUUGGACAAUGGGCGAAAGCCUGAUCCAGCAAUGCCGCGUGUGUGAAGAAGGCCUUCGGGUUGUAAAGCACUUUUGUCCGGAAAGAAAUCCUUGGUUCUAAUAUAGCCGGGGGAUGACGGUACCGGAAGAAUAAGCACCGGCUAACUACGUGCCAGCAGCCGCGGUAAUACGUAGGGUGCAAGCGUUAAUCGGAAUUACUGGGCGUAAAGCGUGCGCAGGCGGUUUGCUAANACCNAUGUGAAAUCCCCGGGCUCNACCUGGGAACUGCAUUGGUGACUGGCAGGCUAGAGUAUGGCA
rnacentral:rRNA from 1 species